GAUGAAGAACGCAGCGAAAUGCGAUAAGUAAUGCGAAUUGCAGAAUUCAGUGAGUCAUCGAAUCUUUGAACGCACAUUGCGCCCGCCAGUAUUCUGGCGGGCAUGCCUGUUCGAGCGUCAUUUCAACCCUCAAGCCCCCGGGCUUGGUGUUGGGGAUCGGCGUGCCCUCGCGGCGCGCCGUCCCCUAAAUCUAGUGGCGGUCUCGCUGUAGCUUCCUCUGCGUAGUAGCAACACUCGCACUGGAUCGCAGCGCGGCCACGCCGUUAAACCCCCCACUUCUGAAAGUUUGACCUCGGAUCAGGUAGGAAUACCCGCUGAACUUAAGCAUAUCAAUAAGCGGAGGA
rnacentral:misc_RNA from 1 species